CCUACGGGUGGCAGCAGUGGGGAAUAUUGCUCAAUGGGGGAAACCCUGAUGCAGCAACGCCGCGUGAGUGAAGAAGGAUUUCGGUAUGUAAAGCCCUAUUAGCAGGGAAGAGAAUGACGGUACCUGACUAAGAAGCACCGGCUAACUACGUGCCAGCAGCCGCGGUAAUACGUAGGGGGCGAGCGUUAUCCGGAUUUACUGGGCGUAAAGGGAGCGUAGACGGGUCUGCAAGUCUGAAGUGAAAGCCUAUGGCUUAACCGCGGAACGGCUUUGGAAACUGUGGAUCUCGAGUAUUGGAGAGGUAAGUGGAAUUCUUGGUGUAGCGGUGAAAUGCGUAGAUAUCAAGAGGAACACCAAUUGCGAAGGCGGCUUGCUGGACAGUAACUGACGCUGAGGCGCGAAAGCGUGGGGAGCAAACAGGAUUAGAUACCCCUGUAGUC
rnacentral:rRNA from 1 species